CGGUUGCUUACACAUGCAAGUCGAACGGUAACAGCACUAGCUUGCUAGUGGCUGACGAGUGGCGGACGGGUGAGUAACACGUAGGAAUCUGCCUUGCAGCGGGGGACAACCUGGGGAAACCCAGGCUAAUACCGCGUAAUCCUGAAAAGGCAAAGCUGGGGUAACCUGGCGCUGUAAGAUGAGCCUGCGUCGGAUUAGCUUGUUGGUGGGGUAAAAGCCUACCAAGGCGACGAUCCGUAGCUGGUCUGAGAGGAUGACCAGCCACACUGGAACUGAGACACGGUCCAGACUCCUACGGGAGGCAGCAGUGGGGAAUAUUGGACAAUGGGGGCAACCCUGAUCCAGCAAUACCGCGUGUGUGAAGAAGGCCUGCGGGUUGUAAAGCACUUUCAGUAGUGAAGAAAAGUUAUGGGGGAAUAUCCCAUAGCCCUGACAUUAGCUACAGAAGAAGCACCGGCUAACUCUGUGCCAGCAGCCGCGGUAAUACAGAGGGUGCAAGCGUUAAUCGGAAUUACUGGGCGUAAAGAGUGCGUAGGCGGUUAUUUAAGUUGGAUGUGAAAUCCCUGGGCUCAACCUAGGAAUUGCAUUCAAUACUGGGAUAGCUAGAGUACAGUAGAGGAGAGCGGAAUUU
rnacentral:rRNA from 1 species